UACGUAGGGUGCAGGCGUUAAUCGGAAUUACUGGGCGUAAAGCGUGCGCAGGCGGUUUCUUAAGUCAGAUGUGAAAGCCCCCGGGCUUAACCUGGGAAUUGCGUUUGAAACUGGGAGACUUGAGUGUGGCAGAGGGGGGGUGGAAUUCCACGUGUAGCAGUGAAAUGCGUAGAUAUGUGGAGGAACACCGAUGGCGAAGGCAGCCCCCUGGGCUAACCACGUGACGCCUCGAUGCACGAAAGCGUGGG
rnacentral:rRNA from 1 species